rnacentral:rRNA from 1 species
AUACAAUGGAGAGUUUGAUCCUGGCUCAGGAUGAACGCUAGCGGGAGGCCUAACACAUGCAAGCCGAGCGGUAGAGUGUCUUCGGAUAC